GUGCUUGCUUGGGCAGCACAUAUACUAAAAUUGUAACAAUACAGAGAAGAUUAAAAUGGCCCUUGCACAAGGAUGACCCAAAAAUUCGUAAAGCAUUCCAUAAUUUU